rfam:Schistosoma rodhaini strain Burundi genome assembly, scaffold: SROB_scaffold0008168
GCACUGCUGAGGAGUCUCGCAAUAAAACGAAACGGCCGUCCAGUGC